rnacentral:rRNA from 1 species
CAAGUAAUUAAGUGCAUGUGGUGGAUGCCUUGGCAGUCAGAGGCGAUGAAAGACGUGAUAGCCUGCGAAAAGCUCCGGGGAGGCGGCAAAUAUCCUUUGAUCCGGAGAUGUCUGAAUGGGGGAACCCACCUACUUUAAGGUAGGUAUUGCAACAUGAAUACAUAGUGUUGCAAGGCGAACGAGGGGAAGUGAAACAUCUCAGUACCCUUAGGAAAAGAAAUCAAUUGAGAUUCCCUCAGUAGCGGCGAGCGAACGGGGAUCAGCCCAUUAAGUUAUGUGUGUUUUAGUGGAACGCUCUGGGAAGUGCGAACGUAGAGGGUGAUAUUCCCGUACACGAAAGGGCACACAUAAUGAUGACGAGUAGGGCGAGGCACGUGAAACCUUGUCUGAAUAUGGGGGGACCAUCCUCCAAGGCUAAAUACUCCUGACUGACCGAUAGUGAACCAGUACCGUGAGGGAAAGGCGAAAAGAACCCCUGUGAGGGGAGUGAAAUAGAUCCUGAAACCGCAUGCAUACAAGCAGUGGGAGCACCUUCGUGGUGUGACUGCGUACCUUUUGUAUAAUGGGUCAGCGACUUAUAUUCAGUAGCAAGGUUAACCGUAUAGGGGAGCCGUAGAGAAAUCGAGUCUUAAUAGGGCGUUUAGUUGCUGGGUAUAGACCCGAAACCAGGCGAUCUAUCCAUGAGCAGGUUGAAGGUUGGGUAACACUAACUGGAGGACCGAACCCACUGUCGUUGAAAAGCCAGGGGAUGACUUGUGGAUAGGGGUGAAAGGCUAAUCAAGCCUGGUGAUAGCUGGUUCUCCCCGAAAGCUAUUUAGGUAGCGCCUCGGACGAAUACCAUAGGGGGUAGAGCACUGUUUCGGCUAGGGGGUCAUCCCGACUUACCAAACCGAUGCAAACUCCGAAUACCUAUGAGUACUAUCCGGGAGACAGACUGCGGGUGCUAACGUCCGUAGUCAAGAGGAAAACAAUCCAGACCGCCAGCUAAGGCCCCAAAAUCAUAGUUAAGUGGGAAACGAUGUGGGAAGGCAUAGACAGCUAGGAGGUUGGCUUAGAAGCAGCCACCCUUUAAAGAAAGCGUAAUAGCUCACUAGUCGAGUCGGCCUGCGCGGAAGAUGUAACGGGGCUAAAACUAUGUGCCGAAGCUGCGGAUGUAUACUUUGUAUACGUGGUAGGGGAGCGUUCUGUAAGCCGAUGAAGGUGUGUUGAGAAGCAUGCUGGAGGUAUCAGAAGUGCGAAUGCUGACGUGAGUAACGACAAAACGGGUGAAAAACCCGUUCGCCGAAAGACCAAGGGUUCCAGUCCAACGUUAAUCGGGGCUGGGUGAGUCGACCCCUAAGGCGAGGCCGAAAGGCGUAGUCGAUGGGAAAAUGGUUAAUAUUCCAUUACUUCUGUGUAAUGCGAUGAGAGGACGGAGAAGGCUAAAUCAGCCUGGCGUUGGUUGUCCAGGUGAAAGGAUGUAGGCAUGUAUCUUAGGCAAAUCCGGGGUACUCUAUGCUGAGAUCUGAUAGCAAGCUGUACUUGUACAGCGAAGUGGUUGAUGCCAUGCUUCCAGGAAAAGUCUCUAAGCUUCAGUUACACAGGAAUCGUACCCGAAACCGACACAGGUGGUCAGGUCGAGUAGACCAAGGCGCUUGAGAGAACUCUGCUGAAGGAACUAGGCAAAAUGGUACCGUAACUUCGGGAGAAGGUACGCUGUUGUUGGUGAUGGAACUCGCUUCCUGAGCUGACGACAGCCGCAGAAACCAGGCCGCUGCAACUGUUUAUUAAAAACAUAGCACUCUGCAAACACGAAAGUGGACGUAUAGGGUGUGAUGCCUGCCCGGUGCUGGAAGGUUAAUUGAUGGGGUUAGCGUAAGCGAAGCUCUUGAUCGAAGCCCCAGUAAACGGCGGCCGUAACUAUAACGGUCCUAAGGUAGCGAAAUUCCUUGUCGGGUAAGUUCCGACCUGCACGAAUGGCAUAAUGAUGGCGGCGCUGUCUCCAGCAGAGGCUCAGUGAAAUCGAAAUCGCUGUGAAGAUGCAGUGUACCCGCGGCUAGACGGAAAGACCCCGUGAACCUUUACUGCAGCUUGACACUGAACUUUGACCUUACUUGUGUAGGAUAGGUGGGAGGCUUUGAAGCUGGAACGCUAGUUCCAGUGGAGCCGUCCUUGAAAUACCACCCUGGUAAUGUUGAGGUUCUAACUCUGUCCCGUGAUCCGGGACGAGGACCGUGUCUGGUGGGUAGUUUGACUGGGGCGGUCUCCUCCUAAAGAGUAACGGAGGAGUACGAAGGUGCGCUCAGCGUGGUCGGAAAUCACGCGUAGAGUAUAAAGGCAAAAGCGCGCUUAACUGCGAGACCCACAAGUCGAGCAGGUACGAAAGUAGGUCUUAGUGAUCCGGUGGUUCUGUAUGGAAGGGCCAUCGCUCAACGGAUAAAAGGUACUCUGGGGAUAACAGGCUGAUACCGCCCAAGAGUUCAUAUCGACGGCGGUGUUUGGCACCUCGAUGUCGGCUCAUCUCAUCCUGGGGCUGAAGCAGGUCCCAAGGGUAUGGCUGUUCGCCAUUUAAAGAGGUACGCGAGCUGGGUUUAGAACGUCGUGAGACAGUUCGGUCCCUAUCUACCGUGGGCGCUGGAAAUUUGAGAGGAUCUGCUCCUAGUACGAGAGGACCAGAGUGGACGAACCUCUGGUGUACCGGUUGUGACGCCAGUCGCAUCGCCGGGUAGCUAUGUUCGGAAGGGAUAACCGCUGAAAGCAUCUAAGCGGGAAGCCUUAUUUAUUAAAAACGAUAAGAUUUCCCUAGGACUUUAUGUCCUCUAAAGAGCCGUUCGAGACUAGGACGUUGAUAGGUUGGAUGUGGAAGCAUAGUGAUAUGUGAAGCUGACCAAUACUAAUUGCUCGUGAGGCUUGACUA